CUUCGAGGAGAAUUGGAAGACCCCGGCGCCCGGCUCCACCCACCACACGCACUCGCGCAUGUCUCCGCGCGUCAGCAGCCCCAGCAGGAACUGGCUGUGUGCCUAUCCUGUGCCUGCUUGGUGGCCAGAAUGUAUCUGUGGAGCGCACGGGAUGAAUCUGCCAAUAGGUUGGUAGUGCUCCUCAAAGGCUUCUAACAGCUGACUAGUGAAGAAGAGAUUUGGAGUUGGUUUGAAUCUGCCUGGCCAUUUCUUCAGCUUCAGCCCUCCCAGCAUGUCAGCUUGAGGGAUUGGGAUUCUGGGAGAGGCCGAGCGGUCUAACUCCUGGGCUUCUAGAAGCAGCAAGGGGCCCGCAGAGCUCUCGCCGUGGGGAGAUGGGGAGCUGUGGCCGUUCAUACCAGGCAUUAGAUACAAGAACCCCACCUCUGCCAUUUCCAGCUGUGUGAUGUUGGGGUGGUGACCUAACCUCUCUGAGCUGGUGUUUCCUCAGUUAUAUAAAUGAGGCUUGUGUGUGUGUGUGUUUUACUUUUACCAGUCUUUGUGAAGCACUUGGUACCCACGUGCUGUACUAUGCACAGUACAAUUAAGAGCUCAUUUAAUUUUCAUCACAACCCCACAAUACAGGGAUGAUGAUAACAAAGCCCAUUUUACAGAUGGGAAACUGAGGCCCAGAUAAGGAAAGUGACUAAUAAUUCCAGCUUCCAGGGGUUGAGAGUAAUGGAGGUCAGGCACAGGGGCAGAAGCAGAGGUUGAAUAGGCGGAAGUUGAUAUUGUGAUGGUUUCUGUUGCUCUUGUGUCCAUAAUGAUGGUGAAGAUUUAUUAAGUACUGACUCUGUGCCAAGCAUUGCUAUCUCGUUGACACUUACAAUCCCCCGAACACUCCCAGCCACCAGGAAUAGACACUAUUAGUGUUUUUGCCCCAUUGUACAGAUAGGAGCCCAAGGCACAGAGAGGUAGACGCAGUUGCCCAAGGCAGCACAGCCAGCAGAUGGCAGAUCUAGAAAGUGCCCUCAGCGCUGGAGUAUAUACAGGGUCCAGGGGAGACACAGGUGGGAUGCAGGAAGGAAUCGAGGAAGUGGCAGAGGCAAAGAGACCCAGGAAGGGGAGUGGACCCCAGCCCCUCCCACCCAUCUGCCCCCUGGGCGGGACAGAG